rnacentral:rRNA from 1 species
AACGAACGCUGGCGGCAGGCUUAACACAUGCAAGUCGAACGCCCCGCAAGGGGAGUGGCAGACGGGUGAGUAACGCGUGGGAAUCUACCCAGUUCUACGGAACAACAGAGGGAAACUUCUGCUAAUACCGUAUACGCCCUAAGGGGGAAAGAUUUAUCGGAAUUGGAUGAGCCCGCGUAAGAUUAGCUAGUUGGUGAGGUAAUGGCUCACCAAGGCGACGAUCUUUAGCUGGUCUGAGAGGAUGAUCAGCCACACUGGGACUGAGACACGGCCCAGACUCCUACGGGAGGCAGCAGUGGGGAAUAUUGGACAAUGGGCGCAAGCCUGAUCCAGCCAUGCCGCGUGAGUGAUGAAGGCCUUAGGGUUGUAAAGCUCUUUCAGUAGGGAAGAUAAUGACGGUACCUACAGAAGAAGCCCCGGCUAACUUCGUGCCAGCCGCCGCCGUAACAC